GAUGAACGCUGGCGGCGUGCCUAAUACAUGCAAGUCGAGCGAACAGACGAGGAGCUUGCUCCUUUGACGUUAGCGGCGGACGGGUGAGUAACACGUGGGUAACCUACCUAUAAGACUGGGAUAACUUCGGGAAACCGGAGCUAAUACCGGAUAAUAUUUCGAACCGCAUGGUUCGAUAGUGAAAGAUGGCUCUGCUAUCACUUAUAGAUGGACCUGCGCCGGAUUAGCUAGUUGGUAAGGUAACGGCUUACCAAGGCAACGAUACGUAGCCGACCUGAGAGGGUGAUCGGCCACACUGGAACUGAGACACGGUCCAGACUCCUACGGGAGGCAGCAGUAGGGAAUCUUCCGCAAUGGGCGAAAGCCUGACGGAGCAACGCCGCGUGAGUGAUGAAGGUCUUCGGAUCGUAAAACUCUGUUAUUAGGGAAGAACAAAUGUGUAAGUAACUGUGCACGUCUUGACGGUACCUAAUCAGAAAGCCACGGCUAACUACGUG
rnacentral:rRNA from 1 species